CAGUUGCUUUUUUUUUUUUAACAAGGAGCCAGCCAUAACAUAAGGAGCAUUGAUCCUCAACUUAUUAUCAGAUCUUGCACACACACUUUCAAAAGCUAAUCACAUAUAAUAUUGCUGCUGAAGGCUUGCUUUACGCUUCAUUACACUUCUGUGGCUAAGUUUCUAGACAGGAUUGUGGUGGUUUGUAAAGUGCUUACUAAAUAACAGACUGAAAUAAUUGAUUUAUUAGCACCAUGGCUUAUGAACCACAGCUGACUUACUAGACUCAUAGCUUAAGAGCCACAUUUCUGGUCCACAUCAGAUGGUUCAGGGCUUCUAACACAGGGGGAAGGAAGGAAGGAAGGAAGAAGAAAGAGAGAGAGAGAAAGAAGGAAGGAAGGAAGGAAGGAAGGAAGGAAGGAAAGAAAGAAAGAAAGAAAGAAAGAAAGAAAGAAAGAAAGAAAGAAAGAAAGAAAGAAAGAAAGAAAGAAAGAAAGAGAUCACAUGGGUAUAUAUAUCUGGAAACAAUAUGCCAAUUAAACUUGACUGAAAACUACUGUUAGUGUCUUUCAAUUAGCACAGAAAACUCAGUCAUUUGUAAAUGUAUCUGUUAAGUAUGCAUUAACAAAUUAAGCAUUAAGACUCCACAGAGACGUUAACUAUUGUAACCAUAACAUCAUAGUAUUGUUGGAAGGAUACAUUAUGCUUCAAACCUCUAUCUGCAAAAGUGCAGGAUUCAUCUUAAUUUCCUCCUUUCACACGGUUCAGCUCUUUGUCUAUUUGGGAAAGGAAUAAGAAUGAAUCAUCUCUGUCUACACUGCCUUCUACAUCCACCAUAGUUCAGACCCAUUCACCUGAAUAUUAUGGACUAUCAAGAGCAAUUUGUCACUUCUUACAAAACAGUCUUUUCAGACCUCCCACACUGAUAUCUCUACUUCAGAACUGUGUUUUGAAAUCCAUCAUUCCAAUAUGUACAAAACAUAUUAACAGCUUCUAUAAGUUCCUUGAUGAACUUAGUGUAAUAAUAAUUGUAAAUUCUUUCCUUGUAAGCAUUUACAGCUCAAUCACAGAGUAUCACACAUGUGGGAAACCAUGUUGUGUGUAUAAGGUUUGACAAACCUACCUGAAGCACAAAACAAACAGCUAGACAAGGAGAGCUGCUAGUGUGAUAAGAUCAUCCAAACCACAUAGGCAUAGAGUUCACAAAAUCCGUCUUCCAGCGGUUAGAAGUUUAUUGGAUUGAUUUUUUUUUUAGCAAUAGAUCCAUUGCUUUCUAUAGCUUUGUGUUCAGGAACAGUUUGCCUUUUAUAUCUUUCCUUGUCAAUUUUAAAAAUUAGCUUACUAACUUUUAAAAUCAGUUCCUACUAAAAACAUUCUUUACCACACAAACAUCUGAAAAGUGAUCUAUUUAUUAAUGUUAUGGGGCUCAAUUUAAUGUACUGAAUAUAUAUCUUUGUCUCAUACUGAUACUUAAAGGAAAUGAACCCAGAAAA